AAUUGACAUGCCAAUUUCAACAAUGUUCUUGAUGGACUACAGGUGGAGGAUGUCAUCCCAAUCAUUUGUGAUUCGUGUGCAGCAACCUCGGGUCCUUGUUGUGCCAGAUUUCCUUCUUGCUGUGGCUGAGUUUUUUGUGCCUUCUCUAGGAGCGCUAACUGGAAGAGAGGAAAUGAUGGAUCCAAAGAACGAUCCUAUUAGCAGAAAUAGUAGCAUAAUGCUAAUGGAAUCAGUUUACAAGCAGACAGAAGAUGUGGUUCACCUCUCCCCAUCAAAACAGUUAGUAGCAGAUUGUGUAGGCAUUGAUGAAUAUACAUAUGAUGGUUGUGGAAAGACUAUUUAUUUAUCUGUUGAAACUGAUGCAAAGGAAGUCCGGAGCACAAGGUUUAGACCAAUUAUAGUCAUUGGACACAGCAAGAGAUUGCGAUUUAUUAAUGUAAAAAUUGAGGUAAUAUGUUUCCUGUCAAUCUGUAAGUUAUUUUUCAUAUUUCCUGCUUUUAUUUGAGAGAGAAAUUCCUUAUUAUCGUAUGUACCUGACUAAUACGGUGAUAGUUUAUCAAGUGUUCUUGUUUUGAACUUAAUGAAAAUUUAUUCUUAUACUGUCCAGUUGCCAUAUCAUUGUAGAGCAGGUAGUUUAUAAUAUAUGAUGAAUGUUUGUGUUUCUUCAAAAUUUGCAACUAUUUGUUUUUAUGUAAUAAUAAUUACAAGGGAGUUGACUUCUAAUUUAUAGAAGAAGUUUGAGCUGAGCCAGGGCAGGAGGUUAAUCCUCUUAACUAACCUCUUAACAAUACAAACUAACUAGUCUCUAAUACUAUUUUUGUUGAAUAUUUCCAUAAUUUUAGUAGUGUUUAGGAGACCGAGGCUUGGGUUUUUUAAGUAUCCAUCUUUAUCCUUAGAUAUGUUGGUGGGUGAGGAUUUUAUAUUUGUAUGAGUAACCUUGUCUGUGCAUACCCUGGCAAAUAUGCAGGGAAAUUUGAUAGCAUUAUGGUAUUAGUGAAUAAUUUUGUUGUCUCUUCCAUUUUUAUUUUUUGUUACUGUAUUAAGGAUAAUGUCCUGUUCUCCCCUUAAUUUCUACUGAUAUUUUGCUCUCUUCGAUAAUAUCUUUGCUUUCAUUAAAUUCAGAAAGAAUUAUGCAAAAAAGCAUUUAUCACUCUAUUUCCCCCCAGAUUAGGUGCAUGCUAGAAACUUACAUCUUUGUUAUUUAUUUAUCAGAAUGGUUCACUAUUAAGAAAGUAUACGUACCUGAGUUAUGAUAGCAGCUACUCAAUCUCUAUUGAAGAUGGUGUUGACAUUGUGUUGCAUGACAAAUUUCCAUCUGCUGACGAGGAAAGUCUUAUGAAUCAAACAUCUUGCACUUCUGUAUAUUCUGAAAGUGAAGCGAGUGGAACUGAAAGUUUUAGCUUUGAAACCCAGGUAGAUUUUCCAAGAAUAACAUGCUUAAAUAUUUUAACUUACAUGCUAAAGAGAUUACAUGCCUUUUUUUAAAACUAUUACCAUUAUCUUAAUGGGAUACACUUAUCUUAACAUCCUCUUCUCACUAAAAUAUUUUCUUGUAAUUGCAUAACUAGUGCACUGGUCUAAGUAGUGGUCUGCACAUAGCACUUCACAAACUAGAGUGGUUAUAUUUUGUGCAGUGCUUUCUGUUGUGUGACAAAAGUAGAAAGCGAAAACAAAAACGCUCUUCCUUAUUUUUAUUGAAGAACUUUAGUAAAGGGAGGAGAGUAGAACUCAGGUUGGCAUUUAAUUCAACUCAAAAAAAUACAGUACCAAAAUUCUUGAAAACAUUCAAAAUUGAAAGCUGUCUGGUAUUAUUGAAUGUUUGGUUAUCAUGUUCUAACUUUUCCAUCUGCAUCAAACUGAUUGAAUUGUUAAGAUUCAUCUCAAAACCAAUUGGCAAUGAGAGAAGUACCUUGUUGUGCCAGAUUUCCUUCUUGCUGUGGCUGAGUUUUUUGUGCCUUCUCUAGGAGCGCUAACUGGAAGAGAGGAAAUGAUGGAUCCAAAGAACGAUCCUAUUAGCAGAAAUAGUAGCAUAAUGCUAAUGGAAUCAGUUUACAAGCAGACAGAAGAUGUGGUUCACCUCUCCCCAUCAAAACAGUUAGUAGCAGAUUGUGUAGGCAUUGAUGAAUAUACAUAUGAUGGUUGUGGAAAGACUAUUUAUUUAUCUGUUGAAACUGAUGCAAAGGAAGUCCGGAGCACAAGGUUUAGACCAAUUAUAGUCAUUGGACACAGCAAGAGAUUGCGAUUUAUUAAUGUAAAAAUUGAG
rnacentral:lncRNA from 1 species